ACCUGGGCUCAAGUCCUAAACACGCACACAGUGUUCUCCUGGCUCCCUGAAUUUGCUAGCAGCUCUCAGUGUCUUUCUGUUUUUGUUUAUUUGACACAGAAUCUCACUAUGUAGUUCAGGCUGGCCUUGAACUGUUACCCAGGCUGGCUUUGAACUCAUGGCGAUCCUCCUGCCUCAGCCUCCCAAGGGCUGGGACUGCAGGCUUCAGGUUCUUUCUGGGCCCUUUGGCACAUGAUCUUGGACUGGAUUUUCAGAUGAAAACUAAGACCAUUUUGGUUGCACGACAGGCUGAGCAGGGAUGAGGAUCUCAGCCAGGCGGCCUUCCCCACUCUAUCCAGCCUGUUGCCUGGCCGACUGACCCUACCUGGGCAGAGGCUGGGCCUGCCCAGGCCCCACUGUCCCAGCCAAGUCCACCUCCAUCUCUCCGGAGCUCUUCCCCUGGGGAGUGUCCCAGUUAGGGCUGUACGCGCAUACACACACACACCAAGACGCAGGUCACAGAACCACGUGAACGCACACGGGCACACACAGGCUCGAGCCAUGUGCUCUGACUCCCGAGUCACAGACCACACAUGCGCACCUUGGACGGGAGUGGGGGCGUCCCCUCCUCUGGCCCCUAGUGUUGCCCCCUGUGGGUGGCAUGGGUCCCCAGUGAAGGCAGGGACCCCACCCCCCUCAGAUCACCCACCCAGGCCUCCUCAAGCCCACCCACUCAGCUGUACAGUGACCCCCGUCCCACUGAAGCCCUCACCAGGGCUUCGAUGGGCCCCACCGCCACCCCAGCUUGGGCAGUGCCAGCCCCUGGAGGUCACUUCCGUCAAGGCCUCAACUUCUCAUCUGGAAAAUGGGCGAACUCUGCAAAGGACAUGGCGGGAACUCUGAGAUGUCCUGGUAGAAACGAUUAAGGUGGCCUGUGGGUCCCUUCAGGGCUGGGGCUGCUGGGGAACUGGCCCCUGGGUCCCAGAGGUGAGGGUUCCAGCCCCACUCUAGUGUCGGGGUCCCACACUUCCUGUGACCCUGUGGGAGGUGCUUCCUGCCAGCUCCAGGGGAGGGGCAGGGCUCAAGAGCAGGCAGAGCUGCUGGAGUCCAGGGUGGUACUCUUUUUCUGUUGUGUGGUACUGGAGAUUGAAUCCAGGGCCCGAGCCCUUUUGUUACUGUUUAUUUUGAGACAGGAUCUCACUAAAUCCCUGGAGUCUGGGCUGGCAUUCGGGAUCCUCCUGCCUCAGCCUCCCAGAGGGCUGGAAUCACAGGCGCACACAUGGCACCUGACCCUCGAAGGUUUUCUUCAAAUUCCAAAAGUCUCUCAUGGUUCCUCCUCCCAGUGAUGAAGGUGUGGAAGGAACACUUUUGCCAGAGACAGGUGGCAGCAGAGGGGCUAAGGGCAAAAUCUUGGCUCCUCCUUCUUGCUGUGUGGCCUCAGCUGAGUCUCAGUCCCCUUCUGAGCCCCCACGUCCUGCCCUCCUCUGGGAAGUGUUCCUCGUCCCACAGGGCGGUGGCAGGGCCCUUAAUGUGUGUGGAGCUCUUGUCGGGGGGACCCCGGCUUGACUACCACCGUGUUCCCAUCACUCCACCCACAAGGGCCAGGCUCGGGGAGUGUGGCAGAUGGGGAAACGGAGGCUGGUGGUGCAGGUGGGGUCCCAGACCACACAGCUGCUCCAUGUGGGAGGCCCCAGCUCCUCCCCUCAGGCUCCCCCUGCCUUUGUCUCCCCAGCAGGGAAGCGAGGGGCCUGCCCUGCCUGCAGGAGCUCAGCUGGCUGUGCCCACCCCAGGCUGGUCAGCUGUGCGCCUGCCCUGAGCUGGUGCCUGAAGCUGUAGGGUCUCAGUGUCCUGAGACCACAAAUGGAGAUGAUGGGUCCCUUUCCAAAGGUGGCUGCGAACUGGGCGUGGUGGUGCUCGCCUGUCAUCCCAGCACUCUGCAAGGCUGUGGCAGGGAGAUCACGAGUUUGAGCCCAGCCUGGGCAGCUUACCAAGACCCUGUCUCAAAAUAAAAAACAAAAAAUGGCAGGGGGUGUAGCUCAGUGUGAAGGCCCCAGGUUCAGUUCCCGGUAGAAGAACAAAAGGAAAAAUUGGUGUGAAGAAUAUGUGAGUUCAAACAUAGGACACACUUAGCAGUAAGGCCUGGCCCUGGGGUAAGCUUGCAGCAGGCACGGGCUGCCAUUCUGUCCCCUGAUUUCUGGUCCAGCGCAGGCUCAACCCCCCAUCAGCAUUUAGUGACCCCUUGGGGACGCCUCCCCUGCGGAUGCCUGGGGUAUGAGUGGCCUCCGACUGCUCACGCCUGUCCUGGCUCAGAUACCCGAGGUCCACUGCGGAUUGCACGGAUAAUCAGGUCAUUACCACGUGGUUUCUGCCAGACUGGGGGUCAGGAAGGCUCCCCGGAGGCGACCGAGAGCCGAGCGCGGAGGCAAAAUGUGCAGCGCGGAGCCCACGUGCACCCGACGCUUGGCAGGCGCCGAGGAAUCAGGGAGGCCACGAGUGACAUCAUCCGCUGCUGUUUACAGCUGAGCAAACACGCCGGGCUCAGCGAGGUGGCACGGUUGCCCAAGGUCACACAGCCCGGAGGAGCAGGGGGCCCACACCGGGGCGAUGCGACCUAGGGGCUAACCGGUGGAGGCUCCGACCGCCUGCCUGCCCCGCCCCGCGCACCCCGCCCACCCCCGUGGGCCUCGGGCGCCCGAAGCCACGUGAAGGCAGCCGAGGCUGCAGGAGCAGCGCAGGGCUCGUCACGGAAGGGGUUAACGCUCCCGCCGCAUUGGGCCGGCCUCCGUGGGAAGCAGCCAAUGGGCGCGUGGGGCGAAGAGGGUCUCGCACUGGAGCCUGGGUUGGCCUUGAACUUGUGGCGAUCCUCCUGCCUCAGCCCCCCCAAGUGCAGGAUGACUGGCAUGUGCCACCUCGCCUGGCUUCAAGCUCAGCUGUUAAAUGGGAAGAACAGAAGCUGCCCCUGGGCUGCGACAUCAGGCCGACCAGGUGCUUUUGGGGAGAGUGCCAUCUGGGGCACCCCAGGGAACAGCGGGUGCCACAAGGCACCUGCCCAGGGCUCCAUUUAGUGUUUUGGAGACGGAUUCCAGGUGUCCCGUUUGGGUGGGGGUGGGGAUGGAGCGCCUCGGGUAUAACACGCACAGGAGGGACCCUCCUGGUGACAGAAGUGGUCUGGACUUUGGCUGGGGUGAGGGUUGCCCUGGCCAGGAUCCCCUACAGGAAGCCACAUCCAGGCAGAAGUAAAGCAGAGGAGUCAGAGAGGUGGGGGUGGGUCAGUGCCACAUCCUGGAGUUGAGGGUGGCACUGCACUGCCAUGCACUGCAUCAUUUCUGACAGCCACAUGUGCAUCUACAGUGGUCUCCGGAAAACUUUCAGGCCAGGUGUGCUGAUGCACACUUGUAAUCCAAGCACUCAGGAGGCUGAGGCAGGAGGAUCAUUGUGAGUUCCAGCUGGAGCUACAUAGCAAGACCCUGUCUACAAAAAUAACAAAAAUAUGUACAAACAUAAGGUAUGACAUAAACUCCACAUAGCUCUUUUUUUUUUUUUCUGGAACCAGGGCUCGAACUCAGGUCCUUGUGGUUGCAAGGCAGGCGGCGGAACCACUGAACUAAAUCCCUGGCCCCACAUAGCUCUUACACAACCAUAAACCAAGGCAAAUUGAUCAGUCAAAUGCAAAAUCAAGCUGGGGAUGUAGCUCAGUGGUGCCGUGCCUGCCUGGCAAGCACACAGUUCUGAGUUCGAUCCCUAGUACCGAAAAAAAAAGCAAACUCAAUUCAAAUCAGAGUAAUCACAUGUGACAUGUUACUUCUUUUGUUUGAAACCCUGUCACUGCCCACAGUGUAGAUAUGGCCCAGCUGCCAGGGUGCUCUGAGUUGGUGAGAGAGUGGCUGGCCUUACACACACACACACGUGCACACGCAUACACACACACAGAGCAGGUGAUUUUUCCUCAGAAUACAUAAAGAAUUCCUACCAAUUAAUAAGAAAAAGGCAGACUUCUCGAGAAAAAUAGGGGGGAAACUUGAAUUAGUAAGUCUGGUGAUGCACCCCUGUCAUCCCAGCACUCAGGAGGCUGAGGCAGGAGGAUUGUAGUGAGUUUGAGGCCAGCCUGGGCUACAAAGUGAGACCCUGUCUCAAAACCAAACAGUUCUCCACAAGCAGGAUAUCCACAUGGUGCACCCCUGUGACCCCAGCACUCAGGAGGCUGAGGCAGGAGGAUCACAAGUGCAAGUUCAGCCUGGUAACUUAGUGACUUGGUGAGACUCUGUCUCAAAAUAAAAAAAAGGAAUGGGGAUGGGCCUCAGGGUGGGGGCCCACAGAAACCAAACAAGAAACCAGAAGUGAGCGGGGACAGUCACAUUGGCACUAUUCAGGGGAGUCCUACAUGAGAAGGAAUCAAUCCCAGUCCCUCUCCAUGGGACAGGCGAUAAACAAAGGUGGCUGGUCAGCUUUGAGAACAAAUCUCACAGUCAUAAUCCAAAGGAUUUCAUUUACCCGAGGGACAAAAGGAGCCAAGACAGUCGGGGUGUGAGAGAUCAGGGAGGGGUCGCCUGCCACCAGGCAGGAGGGGUGGUGCUCCAGGGCCCAAACGCCUGAGGUCAGGAGUCCCUGGAAACAGCUCUGUCCACAAGGCUCUGGGCCCCACUUCGAGCAGAUGUGGAGUGUGCCCUGGGGGCCCAGGUGUGGGGUGAGGGGAGCAGAAGGGAGGGCCAGGUCCCCGGUGCUCUUUCCCUGCCCAGCACUUGUAAUGUGGGCCUGACCCAGGCUUUUUCUGCCGCAGCCCCUGGGCCCGGCCUCUUCCCACACCAGAGCCUGCUGCCCACACUCAGGGUUCUCAGGGGAGCUGGAGGAAAGGCCUCAUCCACAUCCUGAGGCCAGGGCGGUAGGUGCCCAGCGAGAGUGGCUCUGGGGAACACAGGGUGCCUGGUGCCUUAGGCACCUUCCCUCCCUGGACUCAGUACCUGACGCCACAGGGUAAAGGAGAGAUUUAUAGGGGCCGGGGAUUUAGCUCAGUGGUUUUGCUGCCUGCUGCGCAAGCGCAAGGACCGGAGUUCAGUCCCCCGUACCAAAAAAAAAAAAAAAAAAAAAGAAGAGGUUUAUUUUCGCUUGAGGUUUAUUUUCGCUUAUAGUUUCAGUCUGUGGGUGGCCAGUUCCAAGGCAGAGCAGCAGGGCAGAAGGGCCUGGUGGAGGACACAUGCUCACUUCCUGGCGGCCAGGAAGCAGGGAGAGAAGGGAGGAGCAGGGAGAACAGCCUCUUCCAGGCCACUCCCCCAGUGGCCACCUCCGCGGAGGCCCCACCUCCUUCACAGUAUACUCGGCUAUGACCUCAGGCAUGCAGGAAUCCAUCGAUGAGUCCAGCUCCAUUGAUCCCAUCCGCUUGCACCUUACACACACAGGAGAAUUCUGGGGGACACUUCAGAUCCAAAUGUAACACCCAAUUGGCCCCUGCUGCUGACCCCAGACAACCUCAGGAAAGUUCAGCUCAAGCCACGGUUUGGAGACCUGACUGUAGGUGUUGGACCCCCUACCCCUGCUGUGGGACAUGCGAAGGUGGGUGGGUCACUUCCUGCUCCUAAAAAGUGGCCACAACCCCAGGCAGCUGGCAGGGACCAACAUGUCACUGGCAUCCGGCACAGGCCGACUGGAUGGAUGCUGAGUUCUGGAGGGGAUGCUGUGUGGGCGGCCAGCUCAGUUACAAGCUUUAGAGAAAACAGGACUCAUACUAGAAAUAAGCUCAAAUACCUGGGUGUGGAAGGACAUGCCUAUAAUCCUAGCACUCAGGAGGCUGAGGCAGGAGAGUCGGUGUGAGUUCAAGACCAGCCAGGCUCCACAGCGAGGCCUUGUCUCAGAAAAAGAAAACGCUAAGAAAAAUAAAAAUGGCAUUUGUAUGUAUUCGCAUUUUACUAUUCCUUGUAUGUUUUGUCUAUAAACCUGAAAUUUUUCCUUUAACCUAAUGACCUUUAUUUAGUAUUUAUGCUUCAGUUCUGUUAACAAAUUAUCUAUUUCAU